CAGGGCCCGCGUCCGCUGGUCCGCCAGGCCCCGCCUUUUUUGCGGCCCCCGUUGUGCUGCCGGACCCGACGAGCAGGGUCGACGGUGAACCCCACGUAGACGCGACCCCGGUGCCGAGGGUUCAGGCAGUAGAGCAGGUAGACGCCGAAGAAGCGCCCGGGCCUCGCCGCGUCCCCCGCAGGGCCCAUCGGGACUUGUGGGUUGAUUGCUGCGACCUGUGACCUCAGGGAGGGCUGAACUGCCAGGGCCGCAAGAUGCUUGUCUCGGAAAAAGCGUUUGGGGGCGAUCGCGAGGUACCCUAGAGGCCGCAGCAAAUGCAGGUUCGCGCACCCUCUCCUGACUGAAGUAGGGUGUCCAAAUCGGCCCACAGAACCCAGGCUGCGAGGCAGGCGGCGGACACCUAUUAGCGCCCGAAUCCGUCCUUGUGCAGAUUCUGAUUGGCUGGCCGAUGGAAGUCGAGGACACGACUCCCAACCGUUGCGCGUCCAGCUUCCGAGUCCUGGUGGUGUCGGCCAAGUUCGAGGGGAAGCCACUGCUUCAGAGACACCGGCUGGUGAACACGUGCCUAGCGGAAGAGCUUCUGCACAUUCAUGCCUUUGAGCAGAAAACCCUGACCCCAGAGCAGUGGGCCCGUGAGCAGCAGAAAUAAGAGACCAAGGCCUGCACAGCCAUUAAAUUAUGAAUCAGGGCCA